GGUAGACGCCAUGGAGCCAGCCACCAGGUCAGACAUGCUGAAUCCUUCCUGGCACUUGACUUUGCGACCACAGGGCUCCAGAGGAGACAUUUGAUUGGCUUGCAAUCAGGAGGAGUUGCUGAGUUCCCAAGAGUCCCUGCAGUAUCACCAUUGACCUAAAUACUGCACCAGCCAUCAUUGCCCAGAGGCCCGGGUUUUUCAGCAAUUGCCAUGGAAACCUAGAAUUCUUAUUCUCUGCCUUGUGCCAUAUGUCUGAGUAAAGGUACAACAAGGAAAAUAACGAUCUAUAAUUUCUCAUAGGAAAGUCCCUCAGAUUCACAGCAACAGAAAAUAUAUAUUCCAUCUGCUUUCUCUCCCAGCUUUCCAGCAACUCCUCUGUAGCUAAUAAAUGAAACUGUUACGUUGUUGA